rnacentral:tRNA from 3 species
GCCCAGAUAGCUCAGUGGCAGAGCACUUCCUUGGUAAGGAAGAGGUCGGCGGUUCAAUCCCGCUUCUGGGCUCCA